GGCAGCAUGGAAAGAAGACAGUGAAUUAGCAGAUGCCUGUGUCACCAAAGGGUAGGCAUUUUCAAAUGUAUAUAUGAAACCCGAGCCGGGAGAGGAAAGGGAAUCGGAGCACAAAAAGAUCAAAAAGGAUGCUGUGAAGGAUGAGUCGAAAGUAACUGCAGCAGAACUGAACAGCCAUCGUCUGUUUGGUGAUGAGAGAGAAAGGGGAAAAGUGAGGGAACAUUUCAGUGGAGUGGCUGAGCUCUGACUUUAUCUGUUUGUAAGCCCAGGGAGAGAAGGCAGCCCCAGUGCUUAGUGCUGGGAUGUGAUGUACGGCGUGCUGUGCUAAGACGCUGCGGAGGUUUCUUUACACUGAACAGUAAGGGGGUGGCUUUGAGCUCUGCUUCUUGUCAGCUGUGAACACUGUGAACGAUCCUGGUUUAACUCCGCUUUCCUCCUCGCCGUGCUGUCCUUACCAGACUGUCAUCCUUAAAAAGAAAAAAAAAAACUCAAAAGGUGCUCCCAGCCACGCGGUGAGUUUGGUUUAGUAGAGCCAAGCUGCGUUCUCCUCUCCAUGUGAUGCAUGCAGCUGACAGGUUUGGCAGUUCUCGUGUUGCUUUUCCUUCCUGCAACUGAUGCGCUGUGAAGGAUGAACAUGGAAAUGUAAGCAGGGAGAACAGGAGGCUGGCAGCAUCCUGUCCUCUUCAGAGUGGAAGAGCUGCCUUGGGAAGGAGGAAUUGGACAGAAAUCUGCAAUAACUGGCAAAAUAAAUAAAUCUGAGCAUUAAGGCAGCAGCUAGCCAGCACUGCAUUUUACAUUUGAAGCUACG
ensembl:lncRNA